GAUGAACGCUGGCGGCGUGCCUAAUACAUGCAAGUCGAGCGAACGGACGAGAAGCUUGCUUCCCUGAUGUUAGCGGCGGACGGGUGAGUAACACGUGGAUAACCUACCUAUAAGACUGGGAUAACUUCGGGAAACCGUAGCUAAUACCGGAUAAUAUUUUGAACCGCAUGGUUCAAAAGUGAAAGACGGUCUUGCUGUCACUUAUAGAUGGAUCCGCGCUGCAUUAGCUAGUUGGUAAGGUAACGGCUUACCAAGGCAACGAUGCAUAGCCGACCUGAGAGGGUGAUCGGCCACACUGGAACUGAGACACGGUCCAGACUCCUACGGGAGGCAGCAGUAGGGAAUCUUCCGCAAUGGGCGAAAGCCUGACGGAGCAACGCCGCGUGAGUGAUGAAGGUCUUCGGAUCGUAAAACUCUGUUAUCAGGGAAGAACAUAUGUGUAAGUAACUGUGCACAUCUUGACGGUACCUAAUCAGAAAGCCACGGCUAACUACGUG
rnacentral:rRNA from 1 species